GAAAAAAAAAAAGAAUUAAUGAGUUUGUCAUUUUUGUUUUAUCAAUAGAUAAAAUAGAAAGAUAAGUUAAGUAAUUAAGUAAGGGUUUACUAUUUUUUGUCUAGAAAUGUCCAAAUUUUUAUGCCUAAUACCCCAUAAAUACUUCUAACCGUAUAUGAACAAUAAUCAAUUUUAGCUCGAAUGGUUUGUAGAGGAACCCUACCCUCUCUAAUCCACUCGACGCGUGCAAUUUCUUUUCCGUCAAGACGUCCCGCAAUUUGUACUUGAAUUCCUUUUGUAUCUGCCUGUUCAGUUAGUUCAAUAGCUUUUUUCAUUGCUUUCCGAAAUGAAACUCUAUUCUUUAAUUGUCCGGCUAUAAAUUCUGCAAGAAUAUUAGGUUCCCAUAAGGGUUUGAAAUUUUUGUAAUAGCAAUAUUAAGUUUUCGGUUCACGCAAUUAAGUUCUUUUUGUACAUUUAUCUGUAAUUCUUCGAUUCGUUUAGGUUUACUUUCGAUUAAUAAUUUUUGGAAUCCCAUAUAUAUUAUGACUUGAAUCACAUCUAUUCGUUCUUGAAUCUCUAUACGUGCAAUUCCCUCAACACCAGAAGAUAUUUUCUUAUUUUUUUUUACAUAAUUCUUGAUACAGUUUCUUAUUUUUUGAUCUUUUUGUAGACCCCCAGAAUAAUUUUUUGGUUGAGCAAACCAAAGAGAAUGAUGACUUUGGGUUGUACCAAGUCGGAAACCAAGUGGAUUUAUUUUUUGUCCCAUAAUCCCCCACUAUUUACUAUACAUAUCAUGAAAUGUCGUAUCUGUGGAUUUCGUUUUUUUUAUCCAUCCCUUUUUUUUAACCAGAUGUUAUAUUCUUCAUAUUCUUCAUAUAAAGAGAUAUUUUUUAAUACAAUAGUUAUAUGACAGGUCGAUCUUUUUAUCGGAUAACCCCUCCCUCGAGCCUGAGGUUUUAAUUUUUUCACAGUGGUACCUUCGUUGACUUCGGCUUUACUAAUGAUUAAAUUGGCUUCGUUCAAACCCAUAUUGUGGCGAGCGUUUGCUGCUGCAGAAUAAAUCAAUUUAAAAAUAGGAUAACAUGCUCGAUAAGGCAUGAGCUCGAGUAUCAUAAGUGUUUCUUCGUAAGAACGUCCACGAAUCUGAUCAAUUAUUCUUCGUGCUUUGUGAGUGGACAUACAUAUAUAUUGUCCUAAAGCAUAUACUUCCGUAUAUGGAUCUCCCUUUUUCUUUCUUUUAUUUAGCAUAAGUUGAAUUUACCUCUUUUUUUUAAUGUUAAUAAAUUCGAAAUAUCUAAAUAUCUAAUAAAUUACUAUUCACUAUUCAAAUAUUUAGAUUUUCCUUUUAAUUUUAAAAGGAAAUAAAAUGGAAAAUGAAAUUCAAAUUUUCUUUUUUUUUCAUUAAAUAUUAAUUAUUUAGGAAUCCAUACCAUAAGAUUAACGAAUUAACGACGAGAUUUAUUAUCAUUUUUUGCAUGUCCCCGGAAAUUUAGAGUAGGUGCAAAUUCUCCCAAUUUAUGGCCCACCAUACGAUCUGUUAUAUAAAUAGGUAAAUGCUCCUUUCCAUUAUGGAUA